rnacentral:SRP_RNA from 1 species
AAAGUUGGCCAUGGGCGACAUGCUUGCCAAUCUGGUCAGGUCCGAGAGGAAGCAGCCACAACAAGAAUUUUCGGGUCAUGCGUCCAGCUUUCCA